UACGGGGGGAGCAAGCGUUGUUCGGAUUUACUGGGCGUAAAGGGCGCGUAGGCGGUAGCACAAGUCAGUUGUGAAAUCUCCGGGCUUAACUCGGAAAGGUCAACUGAUACUGUGCGACUAGAGUGCAGAAGGGGCAACUGGAAUUCUCGGUGUAGCGGUGAAAUGCGUAGAUAUCGAGAGGAACACCUGCGGCGAAGGCGGGUUGCUGGGCUGACACUGACGCUGAGGCGCGAAAGCGUGGGGAGCGAACAGG
rnacentral:rRNA from 1 species